rnacentral:lncRNA from 1 species
GGCGGGCGGAGGCCCGCGGGGAAGGCAGCUCCCGGGCCCAGCAGGCUGAUCGGGAAGAAGACUGAUUCUGUGCUCACCGUACUUAUGACCUGCAGUAUCCGGGUCGGAGGCCGGACCGCACUAAUUCUCGCGGCGCCGGCCGCCUCGUGCUUUCCCAAGAUGGGCUCCGUAGAGCAGUUCAGGCCAAGCGGCCCUUCGCUCGUGGUCGCCUUUCUCUUACCUCGGGACGAGGCAGUGCACGCGUGGUGAAGGCUCGGCGUUUCCGCCGCGUGCGGCGUUGCAGCACCUGCCGCAGUACCUGAGGCUCAUUGCAGACACGAGGCGCCCAGCCCGGCGGGAAGCCGAGAAGGCAGGGGAGACGCCCCACGCUGCAGGAGCUGGUUUCAGCCAUGUACGUCCUGGAACCGUGGCCGUGGUCCUGACCCAGGACACUUGGCAGCUUCCAUCCGUCUUCCCGUCCUGCUUCGCAACAGUAAUCCCACCGCAAGGUAACCUCUCUUCUCAUCUCUGGACAAUACAGCAGUGUUGCCUGUUUUGGAAUUUCAUAGAAGUGAAGUGCAGGCUUUCGGGUCUUGGCGCGAGGUUAGUCGGGCGAGCCCUGCCGCAAGCGAGGACGGUUGGCCCUUGUCCCUGCGCUGGGGUGUUGGCCUGCGUUACCAUCCAGAGGUCCGGGUACCCCUCUCCUGAGUGCGCUGCGGGGCUGUUGUGGACUGUGGGCUCUGCCAGGCCGAGGCUCUCCCACUCCUGGGCACAUAUCUGGGCGUAAGCGGCCGAACCGAAGGUGGAGGGAUGGUCCACUGUGCUGGAUGCUGCUUGGUUUCGAGCGUUCCAGUGGCUUCCCAUUCUUGCUGACGCCGUGUGUCCUGUGAUUUUAGAGUCUGUGAUAACAUAACUGUAAGCCAAAACAAGAACGCGUUGAAUCUAGAAUUUUGUAUCCUGUGCGUCAUGUCAUGAUCACUCAGGUGGGUUUGUUCAGUAGCCUCAGGAAAUCCUUCGUUUUGGCCUUUGCUUACUGUAAUUUCUGAUAGCUCGAUUAGCUGUAAGAGGAAAAGGCUCACAGAAAUGUCUAAAGGAAUCAUGUAUUACGGGAUUGUAAAAUGACUUUUCUAUCAUAGACAGUAUGUUUGCGUGUGGGGUGGGGUGUCCAUCGCUGUGUAUUUAAAAUAACUCACGUAUUCUGGAAGGAAGUACAGGUUAUCCAAGCAAUUACCAUGAUUUGGUGGGCUUAACUUACAAACCCCUUUUCAGGACAGUGACAUUUUAAAAGGUAUUUCCCACUAGAAGACGAUGAUUCAUGUGAUACGAUAUGUAAUAUUUACAAAUAUAGCAUCAGCUUGGUGUGGGACACAUUUUCAAUUGGCUUCUGUUUUGUUCACUCUAGUUUUAUGUGAACAUCUAUAAUUGAGAAUAAAAUUAGGAUUCUCCCGUGAAAUUAAUAAAAACAUUUGUUAAAAUCUUCA